GAACGGUAGCACAGAGAGCUUGCUCUUGGGUGACGAGUGGCGGACGGGUGAGUAAUGUCUGGGAAACUGCCCGAUGGAGGGGGAUAACUACUGGAAACGGUAGCUAAUACCGCAUAACGUCUUCGGACCAAAGUGGGGGACCUUCGGGCCUCACACCAUCGGAUGUGCCCAGAUGGGAUUAGCCAGUAGGUGGGGUAACGGCUCACCUAGGCGACGAUCCCUAGCUGGUCUGAGAGGAUGACCAGCCACACUGGAACUGAGACACGGUCCAGACUCCUACGGGAGGCAGCAGUGGGGAAUAUUGCACAAUGGGCGCAAGCCUGAUGCAGCCAUGCCGCGUGUAUGAAGAAGGCCUUCGGGUUGUAAAGUACUUUCAGUGGGGAGGAAGGCGAUGGAGUUAAUAGCUUCGUCGAUUGACGUUACCCGCAGAAGAAGCACCGGCUAACUCCGUG
rnacentral:rRNA from 1 species